rnacentral:rRNA from 1 species
GACAGAGGGUGCAAACGUUGUUCGGAAUUACUGGGCGUAAAGCGUGUGUAGGCAGCCAAGCAAGUCGGAUGUGAAAGCCCAGGGCUCAACCCUGGAAGUGCACUCGAUACUGCCUGGCUCGAGUAUCGGAGAGGUUGGUGGAAUUCUCGGUGUAGAGGUGAAAUUCGUAGAUAUCGAGAGGAACACCGGUGGCGAAGGCGGCCAACUGGACGAAUACUGACGCUGAGACACGAAAGCGUGGGGAGCAAACAGG